rnacentral:rRNA from 1 species
GAACCUGAAACCGUGUACGUACAAGCAGUGGGAGCACAGGUUUACCUGUGUGACUGCGUACCUUUUGUAUAAUGGGUCAGCGACUUAUAUUCUGUAGCAAGGUUAACCGUAUAGGGGAGCCGGAGGGAAACCGAGUCUUAACCGGGCGUUAAGUUGCAGGGUAUAGACCCGAAACCCGGUGAUCUAGCCAUGGGCAGGUUGAAGGUUGGGUAACACUAACUGGAGGACCGAACCGACUAAUGUUGAAAAAUUAGCGGAUGACCUGUGGCUGGGGGUGAAAGGCCAAUCAAACCGGGAGAUAGCUGGUUCUCCCCGAAAGCUAUUUAGGUAGCGCCUCGUGAAUUCAUCUCCGGGGGUAGAGCACUGUUUCGGCUAGGGGGCCAUCCCGGCUUACCAACCCGAUGCAAACUGCGAAUACCGGAGAAUGUUAUCACGGGAGACACACGGCGGGUGCUAACGUCCGUCGUGAAGAGGGAAACAACCCAGACCGCCAGCUAAGGUCCCAAAGUCAUGGUUAAGUGGGAAACGAUGUGGGAAGGCCCAGACAGCCAGGAUGUUGGCUUAGAAGCAGCCAUCAUUUAAAGAAAGCGUAAUAGCUCACUGGUCGAGUCGGCCUGCGCGGAAGAUGUAACGGGGCUAAACCAU